UCCUUAACUCAUGCCACUGUGCCUUUUUAUUUACUUCACCAUUGUGUGAGUUGAGUACA
rnacentral:pre_miRNA from 1 species